ensembl:lncRNA
GUAACAGCGAAGCGGUCCUUAUCAAAACCAUCCAGUAUGGCUGUACAGGCAUUAAUUCAAUUUAGUUCAUAUAUCAAACAGAACUAUUGCAAUUAUAAGUGACAAAAUUCAGCUCUAAUCAGCUUAAUCAAAAAUGGAAAAGGAAUGCUUCACAUGCCUAGGAAGUCCAGAGGUGGACCGGCGCCAGGCAUGACUGGACGCAGAUCAGGUGAGGUCAGCAUACGAUUCUAUUUCCAUUUCUAGGCCCUGCUUUGUCUAUGUUGGCUUCAUUCACAGGCUUUGCGUCAUGGUCCCUGGGAGCGCCAGGCUCCCAUCACUCUUACUGCUAUCAUUUGCAUUAAAAAUAGCACUUCUCUAUCCUCAAAGUCCCAUUAAAAAUCCUUAGCUUGACUUUCAUUGGCCCAAAUUGUCUGGUAAACUCAUUCCUGAAUUAAUUUCUAUGGAUGGGGGCUGUGAUCAUUUUAAACCUGGGUCACAUGCCCUUGUCUGGUGCGAGGGGUCAGAUAGGCCUUACCUAAACCGUAUGCAAUGAGUGUGGAUGAAAGGGGUGUGGUGCAAGGGCUAAAUUAUACCCAAUGUUAUGUGUUGCCUUGACAUCACAUCAGAAACCACCCGGGCGUUGGACAGCUGAACCACAAAGCCCCAUCCCCACUCUGCCCCGUGGAUAAGGUCCCUCAGCCAAAUAACCCUCCUUGUCAAGAGACCAGGUACAGUUCCUGUUUAUCCUUGAGUAAUGGAUUUCAGUUCCCUUCCAGCCUGUGGAAUUAUUCAAACUAAUCACAUCCUCCUGUGGGAACGAGUAUCCUCCUGAUACUACAAAGCCUGCCUCCCAUAGUCCCUGGUGUUCACUCUGUCCCCAGGUGCCACCUCCAUGUGGCCUGUGUGGCCUACAGUGUCCUCUUCCACCGGCUGUGAGUAUGUGUGACUGCGAAACUGUUGUCCAUCUCUUCUGUCAGUUUCAUUGUCUUGUGUUUGGCCAUCCUCAUAACUUGAGGGUGGGAAUCCUCCCUCACCAGUGGGGUGAAUAAGAGGCAAUUAAAACAGGAGGAUACCUCUAAAAAUCAGGGGUUAAUUCCACAGAAGGAUGAAUGAAUGCUGGUAGAGCCGUAAAUCACUAAAGUUAAUUUCAAUUUAGAUCCACAAUUCAACGCAAUGGAUAUUCUCUACACCCAGAACUCCUGAACAGAAGAGAAAACAAAGCUAACAGAUCUUCCUAGAGAAUUUGGAUAGACUUGGGAGUAUAUGUAAUUAUGAAGAAUUCGGGAUAAUCUUUUCCUGGAAGAAUGUGCCUGGCUGUCAGUGAGAGGGAUGGUCUUUUUCCUGACAAGAACGACAAUCAUGAUAGUUUAGAUAUAGUGGGGAAAUACCUACAAAUGUAAUUAUUGUUGUUUUUGAAGCAAUGCUAGCUUAAAAUGAGUGAUGGUGGUAAAGGAGUCUAUUUUUCAGUGUUAUAAAAGAUAUAAUCACGAAUAUUUUGACUAUUUUAAAAUAAAAUAUUGUAAAUGGAACGGAGCUGAAUGAUAUUCAUUAGCAUAGUAUUCUGACUUGGGGGCAAUAUAUGGGGAUUUGGGGGAUGUUUCACAUUAGAUAUUGAAAUAUUCCAAAUUGCUAAAAUCUCAUAAGAUUCUACCAGAUCCAGAAAAUUUACUUUUAAAAUCUCUAUUAGUAAUUUUUUAAAAAGCAUAUUCAAGGGGCUGGCCCGUUGGUGUAGUGAUUGAGUUUGUGAACUCUGCUUCAGUGGCCUGGAGUUUGCUGGUUCUGAUCCCGGGUGUGGACCUGUGCACUGCUUAUCAAGCCAUGCUGUGGCAGGCGUCCCACAUAUAAAGUAGAGAAAGAUGGGCAGGGAUGUUAGCUCAGGGCCAGUCUUCCUCAGCAAAAAGAGGAGGAUUGGCAGUGGAUGUUAGCUCAGGGCUAAUCUUCCUCAAAAAUAAAAAAGUUUGAAUCCUCUCCAGUUCUACAUUGACAAUACAGACAUAACUAAGUAUAGUUUCAAAUAAAGUGGCAUAUUCAAAAAUUCUCACACACUUACUUCUUUUCUAGACAGCUAUUUAUGUACAUGAUACAAACUCAAGUCCUCUUGAAAUAUAAACAGAUGACCAACUCUGUAUCUUUAACUUUGGGCCAUCGGGAAAAGUGUGUGUUUGUAAAUACAGGCCCUGGUCCUCUUGAUGAGGGAAGCAUGGGUGUUAGAGCAUCAGUGGCUGUACCUCUCCUCAGCACCUACCCCAGUUGCAAAUAUGUGAUGAUUUGCAUAUUCUCUGUUACUGUCUGUCUCUUCCUCUCGGCUCUUAAGCAAUGUAAAGGCAAUAGUGUUGGAGUGCUGGCAAAUACCAUAUGUGUACAAAUACAUAUCAUGUACAUGUACAUUUCUCAUUGCUGCUGUAACUAAUUAUCACAAAUUUACCUGCUUAAAACAACAUAGAUUUACCUUCUAUAGGUCAGAAGUCUCACUGGGCUAAAGUCAAGAUGUUAGCAAGGCUAUGUUCAUUCUGGAAGCUCUCAGGAAGAAUUUAUUUCCUUGUCUUUUUAAGUUUAUAGAGGCCACUUGCCUUCCUUGGCUCCUGGCCCCUUCCUUUAUCUUCAAAUCUCUCUCUGAUUCUGACACUCAUGCCUCUCUUUCAUAAGGAUCCUUGUGAUUACGUUGGGCCUGCCCAGAUAAUCCAGGAUCAUCUUGUCAUCUCAAGAUCCUUACCUUAAUCAUACCUGCAAAGUCUCUUUUGCUAUAUAAAGUAACAUGCUCAUGGGAAAUUGGGAUGCAGACGUCCUGGGAGACUAUUACCCUACCUGCCACAGCGUGUCUGUAUACAGCUAAUGGAUAUAACUCUCAG